rnacentral:sRNA from 1 species
UGGCCAUCUCGAAAAUCCUACGUAGGCAA